GGGGUGGUAGCUCAGUGGUAGAGCGCUCACCUAGCACAUGUGAGGCAUCGAGUUCGAUCCUCAGCACCACUUAA
rnacentral:tRNA from 1 species